CGUUGAAAAACUGGCUCUCCUACAGUCUCCGAAGUUAAGCAACGUUGAACUUGAUCAGUACCUAGAUGGGUGACCGCUUGGGAAUACCAUUUGCUGCAAG